rnacentral:rRNA from 1 species
GUCCACGCCGUAAACGAUGAAUGUUAGCCGUCGGGCAGUUUACUGUUCGGUGGCGCAGCUAACGCAUUAAACAUUCCGCCUGGGGAGUACGGUCGCAAGAUUAAAACUCAAAGGAAUUGACGGGGCCCGGCCACAAGCGGUGGAGCAUGUGGUUUAAUUCGAAGCAACGCGCAGAACCUUACCAGCCCUUCGACAUCCCGACUCGCGGAUUACAGAGAUGUAAUCCUUCAGUUCGGCUGGAUCGAGACAGGUGCUGCAUGGCUGUCGU